CACGUAGGGCGCGAGCGUUGUCCGGAAUUAUUGGGCGUAAAGAGCUCGUAGGCGGCCUGUUGCGUCCGCUGUGAAAGCCCGGGGCUUAACCCCCGGGGUCGGCAGUGGAUACGGGGCAGGCUAGAGGUAGGUAGGGGAGAAUGGAAUUCCCGGUGUAGCGGUGAAAUGCGCAGAUAUCGGGAGGAACACCGGUGGCGAAGGCGGUUCUCUGGGGCCUUACCUGACGCUGAGGAGCGAAAGCGUGGGGGAGCGAACAGG
rnacentral:rRNA from 1 species